rnacentral:rRNA from 1 species
GAGUGAACGCUGGCGGUAGGCCUAACCCAUGCAAGUCGAACGGCAGCCCAGUAAGAGCUUGCUCUUACGGGUGGCGAGUGGCGGACGGGUGAGGAAUACAUCGGAAUCUACUUUUUCGUGGGGGAUAACGUAGGGAAACUUACGCUAAUACCGCAUACGACCUACGGGUGAAAGCAGGGGAUCUUCGGACCUUGCGCGAUUGAAUGAGCCGAUGUCGGAUUAGCUAGUUGGCGGGGUAAAGGCCCACCAAGGCGACGAUCCGUAGCUGGUCUGAGAGGAUGAUCAGCCACACUGGAACUGAGACACGGUCCAGACUCCUACGGGAGGCAGCAGUGGGGAAUAUUGGACAAUGGGCGCAAGCCUGAUCCAGCCAUACCGCGUGGGUGAAGAAGGCCUUCGGGUUGUAAAGCCCUUUUGUUGGGAAAGAAAAGCAGCAGGUUAAUACCCCGCUGUUCCGACGGUACCCAAAGAAUAAGCACCGGCUAACUUCGUG